rnacentral:rRNA from 1 species
AUUGAACGCUGGCGGCAGGCUUAACACAUGCAAGUCGAACGAGUGGCGGACGGGUGAGUAAUGUCUGGGAAACUGCCUGAUGGAGGGGGAUAACUACUGGAAACGGUAGCUAAUACCGCAUACCCUCGGAUGUGCCCAGAUGGGAUUAGCUAGUAGGUGGGGUAAAGGCUCACCUAGGCGACGAUCCCUAGAUGGUAUGAGAGUGUGACCAGCCAAACUGGAACUGAGACACGGUCCAGACUCCGACGGGAGGCAGCAGUGGGGAAUAUUGCACAAUGGGCGCAAGCCUGAUGCAGCCAUGCCGCGUGUAUGAAGAAGGCCGUCGGUUUGUAAAGUUCUUUCAGCGGGGAGGCGUUACCCGCAGAAGAAGCACCGGCUAACUCCGUGCCAGCAGCCGCGGUAAUAC